rnacentral:rRNA from 1 species
UCACUUGUCUUUUAAAUGAAGACCUGUAUGAAUGGUGAAACGAGGGCUUAACUGUCUCCCCCCUCUAGUCAAUGAAAUUGAUCUAUCCGUGCAGAAGCGGGUAUAAUUAUACAAGACGAGAAGACCCUUUGGAGCUUAAGACAAAAGACCAACUAUGUCAAAAACCACAAAAAAUGAUACCAAACCAAAUAGUACUGGUCCCAGUCUUCGGUUGGGGUGACCGCGGGAGAAAACAAAGCUCCCAUGCGGACGGGGGAAACCCCCCAAAACUAAGAAAAACAUUUCUAAGGCACAGAACAUCUGACCGUAAAGAUCCGGCUUAAUGCCGAUCAACGGACCAAGUUACCCUAGGGAUAACAGCGCAAUCCCCUUCCAGAGUCCAUAUCGACAAGGGGGUUUACGAC